GGAAGUUGCUUUUUUUUUUUUUUCUGCUCCUAGUCACCUCCUCCAUCUUCCCAGGAGCCCACAUCCAACUCUUGCUCUCAACACCUCGUCUUUGCUAGCGGCCCCAAAUGACAAGGUUUGGGUAACCAGCAAUCCCUUGGGUUUGGGUUGUUUGUUUUACACGGUUGGGAAGAAUAGGAGGAUUAGGUAGGAGAGUCCAUUUGGCUUUUUGCUGGAGCAUUAAGAGGCAUGGUGAGAUAGGUUCAGGUGUGUUUCGCUGGUGGGAAUGCGAGUGCAAUCCAGAGGAGGGUGACGUGACCCUGAGCCAUGAGAAAGGUUCCUUGAAAUUACCCAUGAGAACAUCUCCUGACAUGACUGACAGGAAAGAGGGAGUGCUGCUUUCAAACGGAGGGUGACUGGCAGCAGGAUGAGAUCAGAGCUUGCGGGUGGUUGACCUGGCGUCCGUCCCACCGUACAGCACAUUCCCGUGUGUGUGUGUGUGUGUGUGUGUGUGUGCCAAAGACACCCGCAUGCACUGAAGAGUGAGUCAUGACAACCCCGCCUGAGUCAGCAAACCUAAUCCAAGGGCCCGAUCGCUCACUUGACCCAAUUGACUACAAACCCAACUGCUUUAUUCUCCAUCUCCAGUGUUGGAGACCAGGACUCUGUUCACAGGCAUGCUGCAGGCACAUGCUGUAGCCCUUGGCGGGGCUGAUGAAACACUUUCUGCAGAUCCAGGACAAACAAGGCUAUCUAGCUAGGUGGGAACACCCAGCCCUGGGCAGACGUCCCCAUGUUUGGUGUCAUCUGCAGAUGCUACAGAUGAACUCCCGCAACAAGGACAAUUGAUUCAGUGGUCAAGGUAGCGGUAGUGUUGAUGCUCUUCCCGAGAGAGCAGCAGCUGCUGACAGUGCCGGCUGGCACGGAAGAUCCCGCUGGUUUCUCUGAUCAUUCCUCCCACCGGUGGACUUGGAUGGCCCCAAAGGCCAUGUGACCAGCUUGGUGUGCCACCCCCAAGCUUCUGGAUCCUGAAGUUCCUGCCCCUCUGAACUGCAGUGGACAAAUCAGGUGAUCCUAUUUACUCUGGCAAUGUAAGUUCUU
rnacentral:lncRNA from 1 species